UAAGAGGAAAAUCCGUAGUCCCUCUAUCCCCAA
rnacentral:tRNA from 1 species